CGCCUUCUCCUCUCUGCAGCACCUCUCCUGUGAAGGAGAGGCGCUGCGCAGAGAGAGAGAAGGUGUAGCGCCCCUUCAGCGAAGCUGGAGAAGGAACAGAAGGAGACCCUUCUGUUCCUCCCCCGGCUUCGCUUGAUAGGCGCGUUGCUCAAGGGGCGCUACGCCUUCUCUCUCUCUGCGCAGCGCCUCUCCUUCACAGGAGAGGUGCUGCGCAGAGAGGGAGAAGGC
rnacentral:miRNA from 1 species